AAGGGAGCUUGCUCCCGGAUGUUAGCGGCGGACGGGUGAGUAACACGUGGGUAACCUGCCUGUAAGACUGGGAUAACUCCGGGAAACCGGAGCUAAUACCGGAUAGUUCCUUGAACCGCAUGGUUCAAGGAUGAAAGACGGUUUCGGCUGUCACUUACAGAUGGACCCGCGGCGCAUUAGCUAGUUGGUGGGGUAAUGGCUCACCAAGGCGACGAUGCGUAGCCGACCUGAGAGGGUGAUCGGCCACACUGGGACUGAGACACGGCCCAGACUCCUACGGGAGGCAGCAGUAGGGAAUCUUCCGCAAUGGACGAAAGUCUGACGGAGCAACGCCGCGUGAGUGAUGAAGGUUUUCGGAUCGUAAAGCUCUGUUGUUAGGGAAGAACAAGUGCGAGAGUAACUGCUCGCACCUUGACGGUACCUAACCAGAAAGCCACGGCUAACUACGUGCCAGCAGCCGCGGUAAUACGUAGGUGGCAAGCGUUGUCCGGAAUUAUUGGGCGUAAAGGGCUCGCAGGCGGUUUCUUAAGUCUGAUGUGAAAGCCCCCGGCUCAACCGGGGAGGGUCAUUGGAAACUGGGAAACUUGAGUGCAGAAGAGGAGAGUGGAAUUCCACGUGUAGCGGUGAAAUGCGUAGAGAUGUGGAGGAACACCAGUGGCGAAGGCGACUCUCUGGUCUGUAACUGACGCUGAGGAGCGAAAGCGUGGGGAGCGAACAGGAUUAGAUACCCUGGUAGUCCACGCCGUAAACGAUGAGUGCUAAGUGUUAGGGGGUUUCCGCCCCUUAGUGCUGCAGCUAACGCAUUAAGCACUCCGCCUGG
rnacentral:rRNA from 1 species